CCCACUGAGCGAGGCCAGGGACCAAACCUGCAACCUCAUGGCUCCUGGUCAGAUUCGUUAACCACUGAGCCAUGACGGGAACUCCUGGAUCUUGUUUUCUCAGCCAUGUGACAAUGUCUGCUCUUUGAGUGGAGUGUUUGAUUCUUUCACACGUGUUGUUAUUAAUGUGGUUGGAUUUAUGUCUGCCAUUUGGCUAUUUUUAUGUCCUAUGACUUUUUCUUCCUCUGUUCCUUCUUUCCUGAUUUCUUUUACAUUUAGAUAUUUUCUAGAAUACCACUUAUAUUCCUUUGUUGGUUUUAAAACUUUAUAUACACAUACUAGUUAUUUUCCUGAUGGUCUGUUCUAGGGACUACAAAAUGUAUCGUAAUUCGUCAUAGUCUACUUCAGAUUAAUACUAAUUUUUUUUUAUAGGGCCACAGGCGAAUUUGAGCUGUAGCUGCCAGCCCACGCCACAGCUGUAGCAACGCCAGAUCCAAGCCUCGUCUGCGACCUACACCACAGCUCACGGCAACGUCGGAUCCUUAACCCACUAAGAAAGGCCAGGGUUUGAACCCGUGUUUUCAUGGAUUCUAGCUGGAUCAUUACCACUCAGCUAUGAUAGGAACUCACAGGAUCCCAUCCAGGAUACCACAUACAUCUAGCUGUCAAGUCUCCUUCGGCUCCUCUUGGCUGUGAUAGUUUCUCAGAGUUUCCUUGUUUGUGAUGACCUUGACAGGUCUGAGUAUCGGUCAGACUUGGAGUUCAGAUGUAAAACCAAGGAAUCAUGUCUGCAAAAAGAAAUCUGUGAAGUAACAUCAUCCCAACAGAAGAUAAUGAAAACAAGUCAUAGCCUUGUGGGCUCCAGUAUCAGAGAUGCCUGGACAUGCAAAGGCCAGUUUAAGAGGUAACAGGGGGAUAUCUGGGCCAAGCAUUAAUGACCUACGAAAAAAUGCCAGCUUUCAGCCUACAAAGACCUCUUACUCUACAUCAGCAAAUUUAUCCUGAAGAGAAAUUCUAUAAAUUCAAAGAAUGUAGGAAGGCCUUUAUGGUUCAGGAUUUAUAGGAUAGCAAGGAAUUCAUAUUGGUAGGAAACCCUAUAAAUGUAAGGAAUGUGACAAGGUCUUUAGUCAUUUUUCCUAUCUUACUGAACAUUAAAGAGUUCACACUGUUGAGAAGCACUAUGAAUGUAAGGAAUGUAGAAAACCUUUUUUUGUGACUCACAUCUUAUUCAACAUCAGAGAAUCCAUACAGAUGAGAAACCCUAUGAAUGUCAGGAAUGUGGGAAGGCCUUUAGACAAUCUGCACACCUCUCUUUUCUUUUCUUUUUUUUUUUGGUCUUUUGUCUUUUUAGGGCCACACCCGUGGCAU